ACUCUCCUCAGAACACUUCCUGGGUCUGAUUGGUGGCCUGGGGAGCUGUCAGAGAAGAGCAGAGCAUACAGCCCUUACUGGUUGGGUGAGAAGGCAUCUCUAUUCCUAUUACUAGGUGGACACAAAA
rnacentral:snoRNA from 1 species